UAAAUUAGAGUCUCGAGUUGAUGGUAAGGAAGUUUUUCGGUGGUCGUGAUCUCUAUACCGCAUCGUCGUCUCAUUUUACUGCACUCAAAAAGGUAAAUACACUCUAUGUUCCCUUUAAUUUGACCGCUGUUCUUCUUCAUCUCUUUUUCUUCGUAGCUGAUGUAGUCAUAGCUGUUCUUCUUCAUUUCUUUUUCUUCGUAGCUAAUGUAGUUGUAGUAGUAAUCUUGUUCUGCUGGGAGUAGCUGAUGUAGUCAUAUUCGUGAUUUUGUAUGCUGGGUUUGGCUGCUGAUGUACGAAAUGUUUGUCAUGUGAUUAUGUUUGAUGUUAAACUCCUAGUUUAGUAGCUAAAAUUUUUAGUUUUCAGUCUUAUUUGCACGUCUCAAUUUCAUAAUUUGUUAUCUGAUUUCGACAUCGCUAAUUAGCUUCCGAUUUGCUGCUUCGUAUUGUAUAUUGCUUAUAAGUUGAACUUAUUGAUUUCCAUCGAGGUUCCUAUUUUAAUUUCUCGCUUCACUGGCUUGCUGAAUGUUGUUUUGUUUGAAUUAUUGUCUUUCUAUUUAGCUAGUAAUAUCACUAGCAGGACUACUUUACGAGUUCCUUUGGCUUCUCAAAUGCCAAAGAGAAUGACCAAAAUAUUUCCAAUAAUGAAAUGUACUACAAAAUCCUAGGGUCCUCAAUGACCAUUUCGUUUGAAUGAGGAGGAGGACCAUACUGAUAUGUUGACUCGUUCAUUGUUACUAUUUGACAGUCUUAGAUCAUUGUUUUCUAUUUAAACCGGUAACACCACCAGCUGGACUGCCUUGAGAGUUCCUCUGACUUUUUCAAUGCCAAAGGGAAUAAUGAGAUAUGCCCAAUAGCGUACCCAAAAUCUUAUAAUUCUUUGAUGACUAUUUUGACUGUUAAAGAACUCAUUUUUUGAGUUUGUCAAAAAGAGGAGAAGGAUAAAAUAGUAUGCCCUGCCAGCUCCUUUUUUUAAAAAAGGAAACAUCCUUGUAAGGUUCCCUCUGUUGUGGAAUUGCAAAGUUUGAGUCUUUCAUUUCUCUUUUGAUUUCGUUUUAAGACGAUGUUCCCAAGGAAAUGCAAUGGCUUUAUUGUAAAAGAGAAUGUAUAAGGUCUCUUUGAUGUUGAAAAUCAUUACAUUGUGUGCAUUCUCUUUGAAAUAGGUUUGUGGUUCUCUCUCUAGUUAUAAUUUUCAAGGCCUAAAACUCUUUAGAGUUUUGUAAGGCCGUUUUCAGGAAAUGCUCUUAGCAAUUAUGUAGAGACAAGGCUUUUGUGGGAGGAAAUUCUUUAGAUUUCUCUCGAAAAGAAAUUUGGAAGACGAAAUGGGGUCUCAUCAUACCCGAUUUUCAUCUUCAUAGUUUCUCUGCCAAAAAUCUAAGUAGGCAGGUUUUGCUUGAUUCAUUUCAAACGUUCUCUCCCUUUUUUGUUUUCGUUUCAUCUUGUCUGUCUACGCUUUAUGGUAUUAUAUUGGUUAUUUUGUUUUGUUCAUUGGAAGAAUGGUGGUGAAAUUAUUCUUGAAGCCAUAGUUACUAAGCCUCUUUUGAUUGUUCAUAGAUCUGUUGCUUCUUCUCUCACUUGUAGUAUAAAUAUACUAUUAACUUACAAACUUAUCUUCUUGAAAAGUUGUGAUUUUUUUAGUUGUUUGAAUAGUUCUUGGGUCAAGUUUCUUUAAUUCUUGCUUAAGUUGACGUUGUAUGUUAGUGUUUGUUUUUCCAAGCUACUAAAUUUAGGUAAGAUAUGUUAAUAAGUUCUGUCCUUUUAAAGAAAUGGUACAGUGUGGAACUCUAUUUUAUUUCCUCGAAAAGAGGGGUUCUUUUCUUACAUGACGUUAUGCAUGAGUCACUUAUGAGGUUUAUUUUAACUCCCAACUCUAGUGUAUGUCUCAUUGUUUACUUGUUCUUGCUUACGGAAAUCCUCACCAAUUUAGUGUUAAAACUUUUUUUUAUUAGUUUAUAUGUUUAUUUAUGUACUGAUGACAACCAUAGUUGCAUAACUUUACUCUAUUGAGCAUGCCCUUUUUCCUUGAUUUUUCUACAUCUUGACCUACUGUUUGGUAUGUUAUUUUGGAUUACAAUAGUUCUCUUUUUAUCUAUGAAUUUGUUAUGUUAUUUAUCUAUAUGGUGUUCUGCACUUUGGAUGCAUAUUAAUCUCCUUAUUUCGUUCCUUGCAUGUGAAUCCGUUUUUGAGUCAUACAUGGACUCUCUCCCUUUUACAUAUUCAUCAUGGGUUAUUGAUGCCCACUAUCUCUAUCUAGUCAACUCUGAGACCAAGUCCAAAAGCCGAUUAUGAGGUGUACGGAUGUAAGGAGACAAAAGGAGAAGAAUGAGUUGAAGUCCAUCUUUGAAGCGGCCAAGGGACUUGAAAGUCUCAUUUUUUCAUUUAUUUGUUCAUUUAUUUAUUUAUGCAUUUUUAUUGUUGUCUUUGUUCGUUUAUUCAUUUUUUUAUUUCGCUUAUUCAUUCAUUUGGGUCUCGAAGCCAAAUUUGUAAAUUUAAUACAGGUGGAGCGGAUUUUGGGCCAACGGGCCUGAAAGAAUAGUUUAGGACAAGUUAUGGGCCGAAAGCCUUACUAGAUUGGGACAUGGUUUAUCGAUUUGGGACCAAGGGUCUAAACUCUUUACUUUCUCAUCCUUUUCCCCUUUUAUGUGUUUAUUUGCUUAUUCAUUUUGUUUAGACUUAGUUAAAAUCCCUACUAAAUCGCCUAAAUCCAUUUUACACAAGUCAUUUUCCAAAAGCAACCACUUUUCAACAAAUUAAUCUUUUUACAAGUUAAUCAAAAGAUUUUUUCAAACAGUUCGGAUAACUGCAAGUUAGCGAACGUUUUAGGUGCCUAACACCUUCCUAAAAUGUUUAUAGAAACCGCUUAUUCAGAAUCUCUAACUUAAACAAUUUUCCUGUUUUGAAUCGUUUGAAGUAAUUCUCUAAAAGUUUCUUAAUUCCUUUUCAAAAUUAAGUGGUGACUCUUUUCAAAAAAGUCAAAAUUUCUCCGUAAAAUAAUAGUUUGGGGGUAUAUUUGUUUCUUUUUUAUUUUUAUUUUUUAUUUUAAAUUAUUAAUCCAAACCCUCUAAUAAACGCGUUAUUAUCAUCUCUAUAACGAUAUAUACACACAACACAGUAACAAUUACUACUAUCAAUUUAAAAAAGAAUUCAUUAACCGGUAACACCCAAAAACAACACCAAAUAAAUUGAACCCCUCACGUUUCAAUUUUCAGCGAAAUUCUAUCGGAAAAAUACUACCCACCAUCGGUCAACACCACAUAGGCACCCUUUCUGUCGAAUCGAAAACACCCCACUGGCGAACCAUCGUCACGGCCCUUGCUCCGGCCACCUCCGGCCUAAUCUCCACUUCCUCCAACCAGUAAACACCAACUAGCAGCAACGAUCAAUUCCUGCAAUUUGAUGAGAUUCACGUUUAAGAGAAAAAUAGAGAGAGUAUCAAAUUUGAAAUAAAAAAUAAAGGUCGGAUUGAGUUGGUAUGAAAUUAGAUUGGAUGGGUUUAUUGGCUCAGAAAGUGGAUUAGGUUUAAUUAUUAGGGAUUAAAAAUUAAAACAAAAAAAGAACAAAUAUACCCCCGAACUAUGAUAAAUUAUAUGUAUAUACCCUUUGUUAUACUUUAAGGUACACUUAUGCCCCUACCGUUAGUGUGAGGGGCAUAUAUGUACCAUUUCAUUAAGAGUAGGGGGCAUAUGUGUACUCCAAAUAUGAUGGAGGGUAUAUAUGUAUCAUUUAUCAUAGUUCGAGGAUACAUUUAUCCUUUUUCGUAAAAUUAGUUAGCUAAAGAAGACGUUAGUAUUUAUUUUAUAU
rnacentral:lncRNA from 1 species